AUCUAUCAUUCAGAUUUCAGAAUC
rnacentral:siRNA from 1 species